CCUACGGGCGGCAGCAGUGGGGAAUAUUGGGCAAUGGGCACAAGCCUGACCCAGCAACGCCGCGUGAAGGAAGAAGGCUUUCGGGUUGUAAACUUCUUUUCUGAGGGACGAAGAAAGUGACGGUACCUCAGGAAUAAGCCACGGCUAACUACGUGCCAGCAGCCGCGGUAAUACGUAGGUGGCAAGCGUUAUCCGGAUUUAUUGGGUGUAAAGGGCGUGUAGGCGGGAAAGAAAGUCAGAUGUGAAAACUCAGGGCUCAACCCUGAGCCUGCAUUUGAAACUGUUUUUCUUGAGUGCUGGAGAGGCAAUCGGAAUUCCGUGUGUAGCGGUGAAAUGCGUAGAUAUACGGAGGAACACCAGUGGCGAAGGCGGAUUGCUGGACAGUAACUGACGCUGAGGCACGAAAGUGUGGGGAGCAAACAGGAUUAGAUACCCUAGUAGUC
rnacentral:rRNA from 1 species